rnacentral:rRNA from 1 species
UCAGUUCGGAUUGUAGUCUGCAACUCGACUACAUGAAGCUGGAAUCGCUAGUAAUCGCAGAUCAGAAUGCUGCGGUGAAUACGUUCCCGGGUCUUGUACACACCGCCCGUCACACCAUGGGAGUCGGAAAUGCCCGAAGCCGGUGACCAAACCAAUAAGGAAGGAGCCGUCGAAGGCAGGUCUGAUAACUGGGGUGAAGUCGUAACAAGGUACC